AUUGAACGCUGGCGGCAGGCUUAACACAUGCAAGUCGAACGAAGUGGCGAACGGGUGAGUAACGCGUAAUCAACCUGCCCUUCAGAGGGGGACAACAGUUGGAAACGACUGCUAAUACCGCAUACUGAAGGUGGGGUGUGCGUCUGUUUAGCUAGUUGGCGGGGUAACGGCCCACCAAGGCGCGGAUCAGUAGCCGGUCUGGGAGGAGGAACGGCCAAAUUGGGACUGAGAAAAGGCCCAGACUCCUACGGGAGGCAGCAGUGGGGAAUCUUCCGCAAUGGACGAAAGUCUGACGGAGCAACGCCGCGUGAGGGAUGACGGGCUUCGGGUUGUAAAGCUCUGUUAAUCGGGACGCGGUACCGGAAUAGAAAGCCACGGCUAACUACGUGCCAGCCGCCGCGGUAAUAC
rnacentral:rRNA from 1 species